rnacentral:rRNA from 1 species
CACGUAGGGCGCAAGCGUUGUCCGGAAUUAUUGGGUGUAAAGAGCUCGUAGGCGGUUUGUCGCGUCUGCCGUGAAAGUCCGGGGCUCAACUCCGGAUCUGCGGUGGGUACGGGCAGACUAGAGUGAUGUAGGGGAGACUGGAAUUCCUGGUGUAGCGGUGAAAUGCGCAGAUAUCAGGAGGAACACCGAUGGCGAAGGCGGCUCUCUGGGACGGUACUGACGCUGAGACGCGAAAGCGUGGGGAGCGAACAGG